UUACAAUCCUGUGAAUGAAACAUUGUGAUCUCAAGUUUACAGAUGAAGACAAUAAACUUCAGAAAGUUCAAGUACAUCACUCAAGCAGGACUAUUUGUGCCCAUGAGGGAAACACGAAGGAUUGUCAGUAUUCAUUUGCUAUCAGAACUGCCUUUGAACUUCAGGGAAGCCGCCAUCUUGUUUUUGUUCACUCCUCUAAAGCAUAGUGUCUGCAACAUGAAACACUAAUAAGACACAGUUAUCCAGAAAGAGCCCUAGAGAUGGAUAAGGAACCUGUUGAAAUGCUCUGAUACUAAGAAAAAAAAAAAAAAAUUAAAUUCAAAACCAAAAACAAGUCACAAGGGAGUUUUAUGCCUAUGUAAUCAGUGCAGACAGCCGUUAAGUAAAUGAAGAGGCAACUAACAAUGUCAGAAAAGAGACCGGGCGGUUCCGGCUGACACUACCCUAAUCUUCCAGGACCCAUUAAAUGGCAGUUUCAACGCAUUACCUACCAUAACAUCCUUGAAUAUCACUGAUUUUAUUUGCAGUAUCAAACAUUCCAUUUCAUGCCCCAUUAACAGUGGGAGCCUGAGCUUUUUGACGCAGCUAAACAUUUUACUAACUACCUGGACUAAGUAACCAAUUAACUUUUGGAGACAAUACGGCCAAUUAAGCGCGAAAAGAAAAUUUAGAAAACAGGCUUUUCCUAUCAGGAUGAGCACAGAUAAUUUGUGUCUAUGGACAUUCUGUGAAGGCCCAUUGUGUCGAGCAGUGUAUUAAAACAUAAACAUGGCUCUUCCCCCAAGAAACUUACAUUUUAGUGAGGGAGCCUGGCCAGGCCAGAAUGGAAAACUGCAAGGUUCAAAUCCUGGAGUGCAGAAGAAGCAUUAGGCAUUGACCCUGUGUCUUCCUAAUAGAUCUGCAAAGUGCUUUGUUCCUGGAAAUCAUCCGAUGAGUAGUUCAGUGCUAUUGUAUAUCUUGUUAGAGCAGCAGAAGUGCCACAAAAUGAACUAAAAUCUCCCUGCAGAGUUGCUGUAUCAUAUGCUGAGAACAUUCUGAACUUUCAACAAAUUCAUGUUACGAUCCUGGGUAGCCAUGGUUAAAUCUGUACAGGGGUUAAAUGAGAAAUAUGAGUCUGCUGUUAAGUGUCUUCUGAGAGUGACAAAGCUCUGGCCAUAAGGGAUGGGAGAGGAGGGAUUUCUUCUCAGCCCUUCCAGCCCUUUCCAGCUAUAUCACAGACAGGAGACGUAAUGCAAAGGGGCUCAGACAUUGACUUCCUGGAUCCUUACAGCCCCAGGCAUUGACACCCCUCUACCUGACUUUUCCCACACUGUAAAAUGAGGAUCCUCCUAUAUUAUGGAGUUUAUUGUGAUAGCUAAAUAGCUGAGAGGAAGGACAUCUCAUUUGUUUUAACUAUGCGGU